AUUCACCAGGACCUUCUGGAACCCUCCAUGGCCCCACACCAAGCACGGCCCCGGCGCCCAAGCUCGGCCACCUGCAGUCUCCUGGGGUGGGGCUGUCGGAUUUAUGGCAUGCUUUCUGGGUUCUCAUUGCUGAGCCAAUCCCAAAGUAGGGGAAGGGGCUGGAUUCAUCACCCGCCCCUCGGCUUUCGAGCUCCAGACAAGGCCGUCGCUGGGGAGGCGUCUGUGCUCUCCCGGGCUCCUGCAGCUCCAGAGGGUUCGGGCUCUGAAGCAGGUGAGGGUGUUGCUAGGCUGCUGUUUCCUACUGGCUGCCGCCCCGCUCCUGCUUGUACAGUCUCUGCUCCCGGAUGGCUUGUUCCAACAAGGGCAGGUUCAUCCCCUCCACACAGGUCAGCACGCGCGCCUUCACCACGGAGCCUCUGUCUGCAAGACAAACACCAGGGCACGAACGGCGACUGAGCGGCGUGUCAACAACGUCCUCCAAGGUGCAUUCCAGCUGUUCCCUCCACAGCUCAGUCCUGGGUUUUGGCAGCAAGUGAUGUGGACAAUAACAGCAUAUGGGGCAAAGGCAACUGAGUAUUUGGGCCUAGAACCGUGGGCCUGUCAUGCACAGUCGGCCCGUGUCUGGAACUUAGCAGGUGGUCAGAAAACCCCUCUGGACUGAGGGAAAGGCCCCCUUGGCACCUUGGGACACAAUGUCAUCAGGAACCGGGGAAAAGAGACACCCAUAUUUUAAAAAUCCAAGAGACUGAGCUCCCGGUGAACUGGCUCACACCUGUAAUCUCAGCACUUUGGGAGGCCAAGGCAUGUGGAACACUUGAGGUCAGGAGUUCAAGACCAGCCUGGCCAACAUGAUGAAACCCCAUCUCUACUAAAAAUACAAAAAUUAGCCGCGUGUAGUGGUGCAUGCCUGUAAUCCCAGCUACUUGGAAGGCUGAGGCAGGAGAAUUGCUUGAACCCAGGAGGUGGAGGUUGCAGUGAGCCAAGAUCACGCCACUGCACUCCAGCCUGGGCAACAGAGCAAGACUCCACCUAAAAAAAAAAAUUUUUUUUUUGAGACAGGGUGUUGCUCUGUCACUUGGGCUGGAAUGCAGUGGCUCAAUCAUGGCUCAAUGUAGCCUCCACCUCCCAGGCUCAGGUGAUCAUCUCAGCUUCCUGAGGAGCUGGGACUACAGGGACGCACCACCACACCCAGCUAAUUUUUGUAUUUCUUGUAGAGAUGGGGUCUCGCCAUGUUGCCCAGGCUGGUUUCAAACUCCUGGGGUCAAGUGAUCUGCCCGCCUCGGCCUCCCAACAUGCAUGGAUUAUAGGCGUGAGCCACUGUGCAUUGCUGACAUUUUUUUUUUCUUUCUUUUUUCCCCAGUCAUAGCUUGCAAGAGAAAAAAAAAAGUUAAAAAAAUUUUUUGCACUCAUGCUCUUUCUGCUCUCUGAGCACUUUAAUAAAUAGAUUUCCGAGAUGGGUGGAUCACCUGAGGUCAGGAGUUCAUGACCAGCUUGGCCAACACGGCAAAACCCCGUCUCUACUAAAAAUACAAAAAUUAGCCAGGUGUGGUAGCUGGCACCUGUAAACCCAGCUACUCGGGAGGCUGAGGCAGGAGAAUCGCUUGAACCUGGGAGGCAGACGUUGCAGUGAGCCGAGAUCAAGCCACUGCACUCCAGCCUGGGCAACAGAGUGAGACUCUGUCUCAAAAUAAGUAAAUAAAUAGAUUCAAUGUUCUAGGCUA